rnacentral:rRNA from 1 species
GCAGUCGCCGCGGUAAUACGUAGGGUGCAAGCGUUAAUCGGAAUUACUGGGCGUAAAGCGUGCGCAGGCGGUGUUGUAAGACUGAUGUGAAAUCCCCGGGCUCAACCUGGGAACUGCAUUGGUGACUGCAACGCUGGAGUGCGGCAGAGGGGGAUGGAAUUCCGCGUGUAGCAGUGAAAUGCGUAGAUAUGCGGAGGAACACCGAUGGCGAAGGCAAUCCCCUGGACAAAGACUGACGCUCAGGUGCGAAAGCGUGGGGAGCAAACAGGAUUAGAUACCCCCGUAGUCCCUGUCUCUUAUAC